rnacentral:rRNA from 1 species
GGAUUCGUUCAAGGUGAAAGUGGCGAACGGGUGAGUAACGCGUUGGUGAUCUGCCCCGGAGUGGGGGAUAACUAUCGGAAACGAUAGCUAAUACCCCAGAUGUUAUCGUGUUUGGAAAGCGAUAACUAAAGUUCAGGCGCUCCGGGAGGAGCCUGCGUCCCAUCAGCUAGUUGGUAGGGUAAUGGCCUACCAAGGCUCAGACGGGUAGGGGGCGUGAGAGCGUGGCCCCCCACACUGGUACUGACACACGGACCAGAUGCCUACGGGUAGCAGCAGCUAGGAAUAUUGGGCAAUGGGCGAAAGCCUGACCCAGCAACACCGCGUGAAGGACGACGGCCUCCGGGUUGUAAACUUCUUUUCGAGGGAAUGAGAAAGGACAGUACCCUCGGAAUAAGGCCCGGCUAACUACGUGCCAGCAGCCGCGGUAAUACGUAGGGGCCAAGCGUUAUCCGGAUUUACUGGGCGUAAAGCGCAUGUAGGCGGUUGAUCAAGUCGGAUGUGAAAGCUCCUGGCUUAACUGGGAGAGGUCAUUCGAAACUAGUCGGCUGGAGGGUGGUAGAGGAGAGCGGAAUUCCAGGUGUAGCGGUGAAAUACGUAGAUAUCUGGAGGAACACCAGUGGCGAAAGCGGCUCUCUGGACCAUUCCUGACGCUGAGAUGCGAAAGCCAGGGGAGAGAACGGGAUUAGAAACCCCGGUAUUCCUGGCCGUAAACGAUGUCAACUAGGCGUAGGAGGUUAUUAACCCCUUCUGUGCUGUAGCUAACGCGUUAAGUUGACCGCCUGGGGACUACGGCCGCAAGGCUAAAACUCAAAGGAAUUGACGGGUCCCCGC